CCUACGGGAGGCAGCAGUAAGGAAUCUUCCGCAAUGGGCGAAAGCCUGACGGAGCAACGCCGCGUGGGCGAUGAAGGCCUUCGGGUCGUAAAGCCCUUUUCUGUGGGACGAUAAUGACGGUACCACAGGAAUAAGCCACGGCUAACUACGUGCCAGCAGCCGCGGUAAUACGUAGGUGGCUAGCGUUAUCCGGAUUCACUGGGCGUAAAGAGCGCGUAGGCGGUGUGCUAAGUUGGACGUGAAAGCUUCCGGCCCAACCGGGAGAGGUCGUACGAUACUGCCUGUCUUGAGGGUCGGAGAGGGACGUGAAAUUCCCGGUGUAGCGGUAAAAUGCGUAGAGAUCGGGAGGAACACCAGUGGCGAGGGCGGCGCCCGGGCCGACACCUGACGCUGAAGCGCGAAAGCGUGGGGAGCGAACGGGAUUAGAUCCCCAAGUAGU
rnacentral:rRNA from 1 species